rnacentral:rRNA from 1 species
GGGAGCGGCAGACGGGUGAGUAACGCGUGGGAAUCUACCUUUUGCUACGGAACAACAGUUGGAAACGACUGCUAAUACCGUAUGUGCCCUUCGGGGGAAAGAUUUAUCGGCAAAGGAUGAGCCCGCGUUGGAUUAGCUAGUUGGUGAGGUAAAGGCUCACCAAGGCGACGAUCCAUAGCUGGUCUGAGAGGAUGAUCAGCCACACUGGGACUGAGACACGGCCCAGACUCCUACGGGAGGCAGCAGUGGGGAAUAUUGGACAAUGGGCGCAAGCCUGAUCCAGCCAUGCCGCGUGAGUGAUGAAGGCCCUAGGGUUGUAAAGCUCUUUCACCGGUGAAGAUAAUGACGGUAACCGGAGAAGAAGCCCCGGCUAACUUCGUGCCAGCAGCCGCGGUAAUACGAAGGGGGCUAGCGUUGUUCGGAUUUACUGGGCGUAAAGCGCACGUAGGCGGAUUUUUAAGUCAGGGGUGAAAUCCCGGGGCUCAACCCCGGAACUGCCUUUGAUACUGGGAAGUCUUGAGUAUGGGUAG